rnacentral:tRNA from 1 species
GUCAGAAUGGCUGAGGGGUCUAAGGUGCUGCACUCAAGAUUGUCUCCCUGGCUGAAGGCUGGGUGUUCUGGUCUCCCAAAAGAGGUGUAGGUUCAAAUCCCACUUCUAACA